CCACACCUAUGUUGGUCAUAGGCUGCUGGAAAAACACGGAGAGUUGGAUUAAGCAAAUUAACGCUACUAAAGUGGCUCAGGCUGUCAGACCCCGCGUAUUCCACUCUGAGUUAGGAACAGCUGUCAAGAUGACAGGAAGCUGUUAACGGGAUAGCAGUCGACCUCCUUCUCUGUGACUGACAAACCCAGAGGCAAAGUAUUGUCUGUGACCUCAAGCCCUGAGUUCCGCCGCAGAAGUGGCUGCAGGCAACUGAGCAUGCUCUGAACAGUGCCAGACUGCUGCACGUGGUUGCCUCUGGCAUCUGGCUGCCCAAGGUUGAGGAACAUCAAGACACCAGAGCUCAGAAGACAGGAGGAGGGAGCUGCCCUUACAGCAAGCAAUAGCAUGGAGCUGUCCUAGAUCUUCCUGCCAUGUGGAAGUGAGCUUGCUCGUCGAGAUUUUGGUGGACUGAAACUGUAGCUCGGUGGUAGAGUGCUUGCCUAUCGUGGACAAAAGUCCCGAGUUCCAGCGUCGAAGAAAACCACGCCAAAGCCUUGCUGCUGGAACUCUUGCUCUGGUGGUUAUUUUCCUCAGAUCAUAAGAAUCAGCGAAGUCUUCACACUGAAGAAGGAAAGUUCCAAGUUCAAGGACCAAGAUUAGGAUCAUUCUGGAACACCUUUUUGGGUUGGCAUUCAGAACUGAAAGUUUAGCUCUGUUGCACAAAGGGUACAGUGCCAGGUGAUGCACUCUUUGACCAAGAAGGAUAAAAUGGACUAAAGAAAAGGGGCCACCUACCCAUCUCAAAACUAUUAACCCAGAAUUGUUCCUGUCAAAAGGAAAUGCAGGGACAAAGAGUGGAGCAGAGACCGAAAGAAAGGCCAUCCAGAGACUGCCCCACCUGGAGAUCCAUCCCAUAUACAGACACCAAACCCAGACACUAUUGCUGAUGCCAAGAAGUGCUUACUGACAGGAGCCUGAUAUGGAUGCCUCCUGGGAGGCUCUGCCAGAACCUGACCAAUACAGAUGCAGAUGCUUGCAGCCAACCAUCAGAUUGAGCAUGGGGAGCCCAAUGGAAGAGUUAGGGGAAGGCCUGAAGGAGCUGAAGGAGUUUGCAACCCCACAGGAAGAACAAUAUCAACCAACCAGACCCUGACCCUCCCAGAGCUCCCAGAGACUAAACCACCAACCAAAGAGUACACAUGGAGGGGGAAGGAGGGGCAAGGAGGGGGAAGUGGGUUUAAGGAGGGGAAACUGGGAAGUGGGAUUACAUUUGAAAAGUAAAUAAAUAAAAUAACCAAUUUAAAAAAAAAAAAGAAAGAAAGAAAGGAAGAAAGAAAAGAAGAGCCAAUAGGACAGCCCAAAGUGCAGCGAUGCUACCAGUAAGCCCAUGAUUUAUAGCUGUGCUGUUCCUGCAGUAAUGCCCUGUGAGCAUCCCUGAGGCCAAAAAUUCAGAUGGAAUCCUCCUCAGAGCCCACUGCCUAAGUUUUCACUGAUCUUUACCAUCAGUCACACUUAAUAUUAAAUUGCCAAAGAAGAUUUGCCCAGAAUCUUUGACUUUCUACAACUUCCUCAUAAAAUACUUUUUUUUUUUUUCCUUCAAGCUGCUCUUCUAAUUGAUGUGUGAACACCUACGUCAGAUUUCAGUGCAUUUGUGAAGACAGAGGCACUGGGGGCACUUGGCGCAUUUACAGUCAGUGCAUCUGGGGACAAAGGCAGCAUAUCCUGUCUAACAGAGCACCAAACAUCAGAGUAUGAUGUAAUCCUAACUCGUGCUGCAAUCUUGAUUCCAUGUAAGAUCAGAUUCCAAGAGUGGGAAUUGGGAUUUUCUUUUAUAGGAAUGUGGGGGACACAGUUCACCUUCUGAAAGUGUGGUUUCCUUGAAGAAAAAUUAGCUUCCUGUAAGAGACCCAGCAAAUAUUUUGAGAGUAAAUACUCAUUUGCUAUGACUGCCAAGUAGAAUUUGCCAUUUUAACUUUGAACAAUAUGCUGAUGGACCUUGAAGUGUUAAGUGUAUGUUGGCCUUCCUAAGAAGCACACACACACACAUACACACACACACACACACACACACACACACACACGCUUCUCUAGAAUAAAAAAUAGUCUUAAAAAACAUAAAAACACCACUUCAAGACUACGCAAUAUUCUGCCAGUCUCACAUAAGAAGACAGAUUAUAUUAAGUGUGUCAGUUGUAAAAAAAAAAUCAAUAUUUAAACUGAUUCUGUUUUCUACCAUUCCUUAGAAUUGUUUCAACCUUGUAUCUUCAUCUAGUAUGCAGCAGGACACCCUGUUGAUGGAAUCAAAUAAUGCUUGUAUACAGUGACUUGUAUUUUUGAAGUUAAUUGAAUGGACAUGUCUAGUUGGCAUUGUUCAUAAAAUUUCAGGCUUAUAGUACGAUUUAAUCAUAUUGGAUGCAUAGUUCUUUCUAAAACUUGAAAUUUUCUUAAUAUCAGAUUUCCCAAAUUCCCACUGAUCUUUUCUGCAAGACUGCCACCUGCUGGCAAAAGGUUUGUUACUUUACAUAGAAAACAAUUGCACAGUUUACUCAGUGUACAAGGGGAUGCAUUACAACUUGAAACAUGUACCUAGGCUUUGGGGUUUCCUAGGUUGGUGUAAAUGACCGAAACAUAGAUGUCCCCAAAGCCCUCACCCUACAAGGUUUUAUGUGUAUUCUUUCCAGUUGGCUGUUAAUAGCAAGCCAUGAAUACAUGUGUCUGAGUCUUGGGAAGACGGGCCAACUGUGGCUCAGGCUCAUUCCUUUUGAAUGAUUGUGAAAUGACUAUGACUGUGGGCGAGGGGUCUCUAAGCAUUGUUAAAAUGUAUGCAUCUCUGAAGUCCUUUUGUAACUACAAUUUUUCUAAUGUAUUGGGAAUGCAGCUUUGUGCUCUGCCAGGACUGCCACCUUACUCCCCUGGCUGGCAGCAGCAGCCCCAGGACUACCCCUCACUAAGGACUUCCUCAGAUCUUCAUAAAGUGACACAAUUUUACACUGUGAUGACAGGAACUGCUUACAUGUGAGCUUGCAAGUCUGCUUUAAACAAUCUCCUAUUUCCUUGUCUGUAGCAGGGUUAACGAUUCUGUUGUAACAGGGCUAACAUUUUCUAGUUGUCUUGAAGUUUAAAUUAGAUUUCAAUAUAUACAUGAAAACUGUUAACUUUGUUAUUGGUAUCUCAGGGUCAGAUAUGGCACCACUAUCACCAGUAAUUAAAAGACUGAUCAAGA